GCCCGGUAUCCAUGGAGAUGUGUACUGUACUUUGGCAGCAAAUAGAUGAUUCUGACACCAUGAUGAUGAGGAAGAGAGGGGGUGCAGGUGACAGAGGGGUGGAGGGAUGAGGAAGAGAGGGGGUGCAGGUGACAGAGGGAGGGAGAGGGGUGCAGGUGACAGGGAGGGAGGGAUGAGGGAGAGAGGGGGUGCAGGAGACAGAGGGAGGGAGGGAUGAGGGAGAGAGGGGGUGCAGGUGACAGAGGGAGGGAGAGAGGGGGUGCAGGUGACAGAGGGAGGGAUGAGGGAGAGAGGGGGUGCAGGUGACAGAGGGAGGGAGAGAGGGGGUGCAGGAGACAGAGGGAGGGAGGGAUGAAGGAGAGAGGGGGUGCAGGUGACAGAGGGAGGGAUGAGGGAGAGAGAGCGCAGCAGCAAAGCCCUCUUGAAUAAACAGAAUCUGCUACGUCCUUAUGGCUCACUCUCCCCUCCUCCCCUCACAGCGACCGCUCUCCCCUCCUCCCCUCACAGCGACCGCUCUCCCCUCCUCCCCUCACAGCGGCCGCUCUCCCCUCCUCCCCUCACAGCGACCGCUCUCC
ensembl:lncRNA